UAGGGAAUCUUCCGCAAUGGACGCAAGUCUGACGGAGCAACGCCGCGUGAGUGAAGAAGGAUUUCGGUUCGUAAAACUCUGUUGUUAGAGAAGAACAGCGCAUAGAGUAACUGUUAUGCGUGUGACGGUAUCUAACCAGAAAGCCACGGCUAACUACGUGCCAGCAGCCGCGGUAAUACGUAGGUGGCAAGCGUUGUCCGGAUUUAUUGGGCGUAAAGCGAGCGCAGGCGGUCAAUUAAGUCUGAUGUUAAAGGCAGUGGCUCAACCAUUGUAGGCUUUGGAAACUGUUUAACUUGAGUGCAGAAGGGGAGAGUGGAAUUCCAUGUGUAGCGGUGAAAUGCGUAGAUAUAUGGAGGAACAACGGUGGCGAAAGCGGCUCUCUGGUCUGUAACUGACGCAGAGGCUCGAAAGCGUGGGGAGCGAACAGG
rnacentral:rRNA from 1 species